AUUGAACGCUGGCGGCAGGCCUAACACAUGCAAGUCGAGCGAGGGGCGGACGGGUGAGUAAUGUAUGGGGACUGCCCGAUAGAGGGGGAUAACAACUGGGAACGGUAGCUAAUACCGCAUACUAUCGGAUAACCCAUAUGGGAUUAGCUAGUCGGUGAGGUAAUGGCUCACCUAGGCGACGAUCCAUAGCUGGUCUGAGAGGAUGAUCAGCCACACUGUGACUGAGAUACGGCCCAGACUCCUACGGAGGCAGCAGUGGGGAAUAUUCCGCAAUGCGCGCAAGCCUGAUGCAGCCAUGCCGCGUUGAUGAAGAAGGCCCUCGGGUUGUAACGUACUUUCAGUCGGGAGGCGUUACCGACAGAAGAAGCACCGGCUAACUCCGUGCCAGCAGCCGCGGUAAUUC
rnacentral:rRNA from 1 species